GUGCAUGCGGGUGCUAUACAUGCAGUCGAGCGGACCAGAGAUCGGAGCUUGCUCUGGUUUGGUCAGCGGCGGACGGGUGAGUAACACGUGGGCAACCUGCCCGCAAGACCGGGAUAACUCCGGGAAACCGGAGCUAAUACCGGAUAACACCGAAGACCGCAUGGUCUUUGGUUGAAAGGCGGCCUUUGGCUGUCACUUGCGGAUGGGCCCGCGGCGCAUUAGCUAGUUGGUGAGGUAACGGCUCACCAAGGCGACGAUGCGUAGCCGGCCUGAGAGGGUGACCGGCCACACUGGGACUGAGACACGGCCCAGACUCCUACGGGAGGCAGCAGUAGGGAAUCUUCCGCAAUGGGCGAAAGCCUGACGGAGCGACGCCGCGUGAGCGAAGAAGGCCUUCGGGUCGUAAAGCUCUGUUGUGAGGGACGAAGGAGCGCCGUUCGAAGAGGGCGGCGCGGUGACGGUACCUCACGAGGAAGCCCCGGCUAACUACGUGCCAGCAGCCGCGGUAAUACGUAGGGGGCGAGCGUUGUCCGGAAUUAUUGGGCGUAAAGCGCGCGCAGGCGGUUCCUUAAGUCUGAUGUGAAAGCCCACGGCUCAACCGUGGAGGGUCAUUGGAAACUGGGGGACUUGAGUGCAGGAGAGGAGAGCGGAAUUCCACGUGUAGCGGUGAAAUGCGUAGAGAUGUGGAGGAACACCAGUGGCGAAGGCGGCUCUCUGGCC
rnacentral:rRNA from 1 species